rnacentral:rRNA from 1 species
GAUGAACGCUAGCGGCAGGCUUAAUACAUGCAAGUCGAGGGGCAGCAGGACUGUAGCAAUACAGUUGCUGGCGACCGGCAAACGGGUGCGGAACACGUACGCAACUUACCCAAAACUGGGGAAUAGCCCGGGGAAACCCGGAUUAAUACCUCGUAACAUAAUGAAGUGGCAUCACUUUAUUAUUAUAGCUCCGGCGGUUUUGGAUGGGCGUGCGCCUGAUUAGGUAGUUGGCGGGGUAACGGCCCACCAAGCCUACGAUCAGUAACUGGUGUGAGAGCACGACCAGUCACACGGGCACUGAGACACGGGCCCGACUCCUACGGGAGGCAGCAGUAAGGAAUAUUGGUCAAUGGACGCAAGUCUGAACCAGCCAUGCCGCGUGAAGGAUGAAGGUCCUCUGGAUUGUAAACUUCUUUUAUAUGGGAAGGAAUCCACUUUUUCUUGAGUGGUUGACGGUACCAUAGGAAUAAGCACCGGCUAACUCCGUGCCAGCAGCCGCGGUAAUACGGAGGGUGCAAGCGUUAUCCGGAUUCACUGGGUUUAAAGGGUGCGUAGGAGGGCAGGUAAGUCAGUGGUGAAAUCUCCAAGCUUAACUUGGAAACUGCCGUUGAUACUAUCUGUCUUGAAUACCGUGGAGGUGAGCGGAAUAUGUCAUGUAGCGGUGAAAUGCUUAGAUAUGACAUAGAACACCAAUUGCGAAGGCAGCUCGCUACACGAAUAUUGACUCUGAGGCACGAAAGCGUGGGGAUCAAACAGGAUUAGAUAA